GGAGGGUUGGCAGAGCGGUCUAAUGCGCUGGUUUCGAAAACCAGUUGGGGCGAAAGUCCCUCACAGGUUCAAAUCCUGUACCCUCCG
rnacentral:tRNA from 1 species